UCGAACGGAGAUUAUUUCGAUAAUCUUAGUGGCGAACGGGUGAGUAACGCGUGGGCAACCUGCCCUCUAGAUGGGGACAACAUCCCGAAAGGGGUGCUAAUACCGAAUGUGACAGCAAUCUCGCAUGAGGAUGCUGUGAAAGAUGGCCUCUAUUUAUAAGCUAUCGCUAGAGGAUGGGCCUGCGUCUGAUUAGCUAGUUGGUGGGGUAACGGCCUACCAAGGCGAUGAUCAGUAGCCGGUCUGAGAGGAUGAACGGCCACAUUGGGACUGAGACACGGCCCAGACUCCUACGGGAGGCAGCAGUGGGGAAUCUUCCGCAAUGGGCGAAAGCCUGACGGAGCAAUGCCGCGUGAGUGAUGAAGGGAUUCGUUCCGUAAAGCUCUUUUGUUUAUGACGAAUGUGCAGGUUGUGAAUAAUGACUUGUAAUGACGGUAGUAAACGAAUAAGCCACGGCUAACUACGUGCCAGCAGCCGCGGUAAUACGUAGGUGGCGAGCGUUGUCCGGAAUUAUUGGGCGUAAAGAGCAUGUAGGCGGUUUUUUAAGUCUGGAGUGAAAAUGCGGGGCUCAACCCCGUAUGGCUCUGGAUACUGGAAGACUUGAGUGCAGGAGAGGAAAGGGGAAUUCCCAGUGUAGCGGUGAA
rnacentral:rRNA from 1 species